rnacentral:lncRNA from 1 species
ACACAAAAGACUUCAGACAGUCUAACGCCCAGCAUGGGGCGGGGAGUGGGUAAGGAAUCCCAGGACUAGCUGAGGAGCCACCGGCAUUCGAUAGCAGCUAGGUGACGGGAAGUCCCAUUCCUUGACUGAUAUGACCCCUAGUAUAUCAGACCACAUGCCAGGGCAAAACCCAGGACUAGCUGCACAAGUCCGUGGGAGCAUGGAGCAUGGAGCAUGGAGCAUGGAGCAUGGAGCAUGGAGCAUGGAGCAUGGAGCAUGGAGCAUGGAGCAUGGAGCAUGGAGCAUGGAGCAUGGAGCAUGGAGCAUGGAGCAUGGAGCAUGGAGCAUGGAGCAUGGAGCAUGGGCAUCCUAAUGGUUUCUGGCCUCAGCACAGACCACAAACAUGGCUGCUGGUUACAGUAGGGCCACAGACCUCAGAGGCAGCACAGGUGCCUCAUAUCAAUAUGUCUCCUGGUAGCAGCACAGCCCUCAGACAUCAGAUGGCCUCAUGCUGCACCACAGACCAUGGAUCUCCUCUUGGCAUUUGGUGGUAACAUGAACACAGACGCCAGCUACAGUUGGACUAUGGACCUGACAUGGCCCUAGGAAGUAGCAUGGGCCUGGACAUCACCAUGGCCUCCAGUAGCAGUGCCGGUCACUCAGAUCAGUAUGGCCUCCAGUGGUCCCGUGGCCCAUGGACAUCAACAUGGAUUCAGGUGGCAGCAGAGACCAUGAACAUCUACAUGACCUUUGAGGACCCCAUGGGCCAUGAAGAUCAACACAGACCCUGGCAAUGGUAAGG